rnacentral:rRNA from 1 species
AACAAACGCUGGCGGCGUGCCUAAUACAUGCAAGUCGAACGGGGAAAGCUUUCGGGUGAGUACUAGUGGCGCGCGGGUGAGGAACGCGUGGAUAAUCUGCCUUAGAGUGGGGGAUAACUAGUCGAAAGAUUAGCUAAUACCGCAUAAGACCACAGGAGCUGCGGCUCUAGGGGUCAAAGGUUUUUCGCUCUAAGAUGAGUCCGCGUAAGAUUAGCUAGUUGGUGAGGUAACGGCCCACCAAGGCGACGAUCUUUAACUGGUCUGAGAGGAUGAUCAGUCACACUGGAACUGAGACUCGGUCCAGACUCCGACGGGAGGCAGCAGUAGGGAAUAUUGCAAAAUGGAGGAAACUCUGAUGCAGCGACGCCGCGUGAGUGAUGAAGGCCUUCGGGUCGUAAAGCUCUGUCGCAGGGGAAUAACACAAUGAAUGUACCCUGUAAGAAAGGAUCGGCUAACUUCGUGCCAGCAGCCGCGGUAACAC